rnacentral:rRNA from 1 species
AGAGUUUGAUCAUGGCUCAGAUUGAACGCUGGCGGCAGGCCUAACACAUGCAAGUCGAGCGGUAGCACAGAGAGCUUGCUCUCGGGUGACGAGCGGCGGACGGGUGAGUAAUGUCUGGGAAACUGCCUGAUGGAGGGGGAUAACUACUGGAAACGGUAGCUAAUACCGCAUAAUGUCGCAAGACCAAAGUGGGGGACCUUCGGGCCUCAUGCCAUCAGAUGUGCCCAGAUGGGAUUAGCUAGUAGGUGGGGUAACGGCUCACCUAGGCGACGAUCCCUAGCUGGUCUGAGAGGAUGGCCAGCCACACUGGAACUGAGACACGGUCCAGACUCCUACGGGAGGCAGCAGUGGGGAAUAUUGCACAAUGGGCGCAAGCCUGAUGCAGCCAUGCCGCGUGUGUGAAGAAGGCCUUCGGGUUGUAAAGCACUUUCAGCGGGGAGGAAGGCGUUAAGGUUAAUAACCUUGUCGAUUGACGUUACCCGCAGAAGAAGCACCGGCUAACUCCGUGCCAGCAGCCGCGGUAAUACGGAGGGUGCAAGCGUUAAUCGGAAUUACUGGGCGUAAAGCGCACGCAGGCGGUCUGUCAAGUCGGAUGUGAAAUCCCCGGGCUCAACCUGGGAACUGCAUUCGAAACUGGCAGGCUAGAGUCUUGUAGAGGGGGGUAGAAUUCCAGGUGUAGCGGUGAAAUGCGUAGAGAUCUGGAGGAAUACCGGUGGCGAAGGCGGCCCCCUGGACAAAGACUGACGCUCAGGUGCGAAAGCGUGGGGAGCAAACAGGAUUAGAUACCCUGGUAGUCCACGCCGUAAACGAUGUCGAUUUGGAGGUUGUGCCCUUGAGGCGUGGCUUCCGGAGCUAACGCGUUAAAUCGACCGCCUGGGGAGUACGGCCGCAAGGUUAAAACUCAAAUGAAUUGACGGGGGCCCGCACAAGCGGUGGAGCAUGUGGUUUAAUUCGAUGCAACGCGAAGAACCUUACCUGGUCUUGACAUCCACAGAACUUUCCAGAGAUGGAUUGGUGCCUUCGGGAACUGUGAGACAGGUGCUGCAUGGCUGUCGUCAGCUCGUGUUGUGAAAUGUUGGGUUAAGUCCCGCAACGAGCGCAACCCUUAUCCUUUGUUGCCAGCGGUUAGGCCGGGAACUCAAAGGAGACUGCCAGUGAUAAACUGGAGGAAGGUGGGGAUGACGUCAAGUCAUCAUGGCCCUUACGACCAGGGCUACACACGUGCUACAAUGGCAUAUACAAAGAGAAGCGACCUCGCGAGAGCAAGCGGACCUCAUAAAGUAUGUCGUAGUCCGGAUUGGAGUCUGCAACUCGACUCCAUGAAGUCGGAAUCGCUAGUAAUCGUAGAUCAGAAUGCUACGGUGAAUACGUUCCCGGGCCUUGUACACACCGCCCGUCACACCAUGGGAGUGGGUUGCAAAAGAAGUAGGUAGCUUAACCUUCGGGAGGGCGCUUACCACUUUGUGAUUCAUGACUGGGGUGAAGUCGUAACAAGGUAACCGUAGGGGAACCUGCGGUUGGAUCACCU